UACGAAGGGAGCUAGCGUUGUUCGGAAUCACUGGGCGUAAAGAGCUCGUAGGCGGUGUGUCGCGUCGGCUGUGAAAACCUGCAGCUUAACUGUGGGCUUGCGGUCGAUACGGGCAUCACUGGAGUUCGGCAGGGGAGACUGGAAUUCCUGGUGUAGCGGUGAAAUGCGCAGAUAUCAGGAGGAACACCGGUGGCGAAGGCGGGUCUCUGGGCCGAUACUGACGCUGAGGAGCGAAAGCGUGGGGAGCGAACAGG
rnacentral:rRNA from 1 species